CCUACGGGAGGCAGCAGUAGGGAAUAUUGCUCAAUGGGGGAAACCCUGAUGCAGCAACGCCGCGUGGAUGAAGAAGUUUUUCGGUUUGUAAACCCCUAUUGUCAGAGAAGAUAAUGACGGUACCUGAUUAAUAAGCACCGGCUAACUACGUGCCAGCAGCCGCGGUAAUACGGAGGGUGCAAGCGUUACCCGGAUUUACUGGGCGUAAAGGGAGCGUAGGCGGGAUCGCAAGUCUGAAGUGAAAUGCCAUGGCUUAACCCUGGAACUGCAUUUGAAACUGUUAUUCUAGAGUGUGGGAGAGGUAAGUGGAAUUCUUGGUGUAGGGGUGAAAUCCGUAGAGAUUAAGAGGAAUAC
rnacentral:rRNA from 1 species